rnacentral:ribozyme from 13 species
UUUUGGGAGUUUUUUGUUUUUUUUCUUGUUUUUUUUCUUUUUUGU